GAAUCACGUUAUGUUAAGGAAAUUAUGUAUUUCUGCGACUACGAACAAGCCGUUGAUAAAAGCAGUUGGUCAAAGACAACAAAAUUCAACAUGCUUGUGAGCAAAUCUUCAAACACUUGGUGUAAGUGCGAAAUAACCCUCACAAACGACAAGGAAUCGGAAUGUUUAAUAAUAAAAUACGUGAAAUUCAACAA